rnacentral:tRNA from 1 species
GUAUUUUUAGCUCAAUUGGAUAGAGCAACAGUUUUCUAAACUGCAGGUUAUAGGUUCAAGUCCUGUAAAAUAUA